rnacentral:rRNA from 1 species
UACGUAGGGUGCGAGCGUUGUCCGGAAUUAUUGGGCGGUAAAGGGCUCGUAGGCGGUUUGUCGCGUCGGGAGUGAAAUCCACUGGCUUAACUGGUGGGCUUGCUUUCGAUACGGGCAGACUGGAGGUAUGCAGGGGAGAACGGAAUUCCUGGUGUAGCGGUGAAAUGCGCAGAUAUCAGGAGGAACACCGGUGGCGAAGGCGGUUCUCUGGGCAUGUCCUGACGCUGAGGAGCGGAAAGUGUGGGGAGCGAACAGG